AACGAACGCUGGCGGCGUGCUUAACACAUGCAAGUCGAACGUGAAAGGGACUUCGGUCCUGAGUAAAGUGGCGCACGGGUGAGUAACGCGUAGAUAACCUGUCUUCAUGUCUGGAAUAAUACGCCGAAAGGGGUACUAAUACCGGAUAUUCUUGCUUUUCAUAAGUUAUGCAAGCAAAGGUGGCCUCUGCAUAUGCUACUGCAUGAAGAGGGGUCUGCGUACCAUUAGCUAGUAGGUGGGGUAAUGGCCUACCUAGGCGACGAUGGUUAGCGGGUCUGAGAGGAUGAUCCGCCACACUGGCACUGGAACACGGGCCAGACUCCUGCGGGAGGCAGCAGUGAGGAAUAUUGCGCAAUGGGGGAAACCCUGACGCAGCGACGCCGCGUGAGUGAAGGAAGGCCUUCGGGUCGUAAAGCUCUGUCAAGAGGAAAGAAGUGUACAAUGGCUAAUACCUGUUGUAUUUGACGGUACCUCUAAAGGAAGCACCGGCUAACUCCGUGCCAGCAGCCGC
rnacentral:rRNA from 1 species